rnacentral:lncRNA from 1 species
CGGACUGCUGCUGGCAGCUGAAGUUCGCAGAUGCUUGACACCAGACUUCCCUUCUUCCGGAAGAUUCCAAGAACUCCAGGGAGUAGAGCUGGAUUAGUGGGUGGUCCCAGUAGGGGAAAAGUCCGGGAACCCUAUGUCGAUUUCCGCCUUAAAGGUGCUGGCGAGGAGGGAGGGACAGGGCAAGAGCAACUCCAACUUCCAGCCCGGAAGAUUUUUCGUCCACUGACCCAAGUCCUCAGAGUGACAACUCCAUGCUGGCCUAGAGAUCCCCAGGAGGCUUCAUUUACAAGACCAGUAACCUACAACAACAUCCCCUUACGUCCGAAUUAGAAGAGCCGGGUGUGGUGGUUUAAGCCUUUAAUCCCACCCCUGGGGAGGCAAUGGUAGGCAGAUCCCUGAGUCCAAGGCUAACCUGACAUACAUUAGUUCCAGGACAACCAAAGCUACAUAGUAAGACCGACUUUCCGAAAAAAAACAAACAAAC